GUGCUGAGGUGCAGCCUCCCUGCUCAGGAGCUAGAGAUGAUUUGAAUUGCCUGAGGUGGCUACCAGCAGAAAGAAAACAGUGACUACUGAGGACUCAGUCACCAACUGUCACCCUCAAGAAGGUGCCGACUACAGCUUUCAAGGCAACAGGUUCUGCCUUGCAGGCAAGACUGCAGCCCAGUAGGAUGUCCAGUGACCAUGUAGUGGCUGGGUGCCACCUGAGGCCCUCCCUCCAGCAACCUUAAGCAGCACCUGCAGACACACUGAGCGCCUGAACAGCACUUUUCUAUGCCUUGCUUCCCAUGAAAAUAACCAUGACUGGGGAAAGAAGGAAUAAAGGUUGCCAUGUGCCCCUGGAAGCUAAGUGGGGGGGAUCCUGGCACAGAAGUGUGCGCCAUAGACAGUCCACAGAGGAGAAGCCAACAGGGCACACAGAUAAGAGAGGAGCAGCAACCCAGCCUGUUGCACCAUGGGAAGUCUUAGGAUCUUCGACCUGUGAGCUAGGAACUCAAGAAGGCUGGUAGUCGGGGCCCAGUCCAAACUCAAGGACCAAGAACCAGGAAAGGCGGUUGUCUCCAUGCUGGCUUUAUCCACGGACCAGGGACACCCACAGGCCUGAGCAGGAAGAGGUGGCAUCCGGCCCUGGGAGUAGAGAUGGGCCUUUCCUGGACCCUCUUGUUCUUUCCAGACCCUUGGUGGGUGGGUGAUGCCCAGGGCAAUGGGUAGAGCAUCAUCGUUCCGGCUGGUUUUCAAAUGCUUCUGGACCUGCACAGACACCCCCGAAACAGUGCUCCAUCAGCUAGCUGGAAGUCAGGCUCCCACAUACGAUGCUUAUUCUAUUAUAUCAAAGUGAGCCAAGCACUCAGCACACACCUGUAACCUCACCCACAGGAAACUGACAAAGGAGGUUUGGGAUUUUGAGGACAACCUGGGCCUAGAGACCUUGUCUC
rnacentral:lncRNA from 1 species